rnacentral:rRNA from 1 species
UAUUAUUAUUAUUNNAAUUUUAUAUUNNAGUUUUUAAGCUUAAUUAAUAUAAUUAGACGNGAAGACCCUAUAGAAUUUAAUUAAUAAUUUAAAUUUUUUUUUUAAUUUAUAAAUUAAUUUAAUUGGGGAGAUUAAAAAAUUAAGUUAACUUUUUUUAAAAAAAAAUUAANNNNAGUUAUUAAGAUCAAAUUAAAUAGAUUAAAAAAUUAAAUUACCUUAGGGAUAACAGCAUAAUAUUAUAAAUAAGUUCAAAUUA